UGGGGAAUUUUGGACAAUGGGCGCAAGCCUGAUCCAGCAAUGCCGCGUGUGCGAAGAAGGCCUUCGGGUUGUAAAGCACUUUUGUUUGGAAAGAAAAGGUCAGCGCUAAUACCGCUGGCUGAUGACGGUACCAAUCGAAUAAGCACCGGCUAACUACGUGCCAGCAGCCGCGGUAAUACGUAGGGUGCAAGCGUUAAUCGGAAUUACUGGGCGUAAAGCGUGCGCAGGCGGUUGUGUAAGACAGAUGUGAAAUCCCCGGGCUUAACCUGGGAAUUGCAUUUGUGACUGCACGGCUAGAGUGCGUCAGAGGGGGGUGGAAUUCCACGUGUAGCAGUGAAAUGCGUAGAUAUGUGGAGGAACACCAAUGGCGAAGGCAGCCCCCUGGGAUGACACUGACGCU
rnacentral:rRNA from 1 species